GGGCACCACACGUUUCGCACACAGGCACACGCUCACAUCACCGCCAUCACGUCCUUCACGGGUCAGCACACAGCCAGGGGCACCUUCGGGCCUUGCGCUUCAUCCAGCAUGCAGUCCUUNAGGAUCAGGACAUAUCAGCUCAGUAUGGAUAGGGGUCACAUGGGCUCCACCACAAGGGCGCACGCAUCCGGUACACACUAGGUAUCUAGCAGCAGGCAUAGCAUCCCAGUCCACCACUAGGGGCACACUGC
rnacentral:rRNA from 1 species